GUUUAAAGGCAUCUCUCUCUCUCUCUCUCUCUCUGUCUCUCUCUCUCUCUCACACACACACACACACACACAGAGAGAGAGAGAGAGAGAGAGAGAGAGAGAGAGAGAGAGAGAGAGCCCA
rnacentral:miRNA from 1 species